rnacentral:rRNA from 1 species
AUAAAAAACCAACGCCCUUCGGGGCUCCUUGGUGAAUCAUAAUAACUAAGCGAAUCGCAUGGCCUUGCGCCGGCGAUGGUUCAUUCAAAUUUCUGCCCUAUCAACUUUCGAUGGUAAGAUAGUGGCUUACCAUGGUGGCAACGGGUAACGGGGAAUUAGGGUUCGAUUCCGGAGAGGGAGCCUGAGAAACGGCUACCACAUCCAAGGAAGGCAGCAGGCGCGCAAAUUACCCAAUCCCGACACGGGGAGGUAGUGACAAUAAAUACUGGUACGGGGCUCUUUUGGGUCUCGUAAUUGGAAUGAGUACAAUCUAAAUCCCUUAACGAGGAACAAUUGGAGGGCAAGUCUGGUGCCAGCAGCCGCGGUAAUUCCAGCUCCAAUAGCGUAUAUUAAAGUUGUUGCAGUUAAAAAGCUCGUAGUUGAACCUUGGGUCUGGCUGACCGGUCCGCCUCACCGCGAGUACUGGUUCGGCUGGGCCUUUCCUUCUGGGGAACCUCAUGGCCUUCACUGGCUGUGG